UGUUCUGUGGCGGAGUUGGUUAACGCGCCCUGUCUAGCGAACUUGGGGAGACGUAAGUUCAAAUCCCACCAGAACUA
rnacentral:tRNA from 1 species